rnacentral:rRNA from 1 species
AUUGAACGCUGGCGGCAGGCCUAACACAUGCAAGUCGAGCGAGCGGCGGACGGGUGAGUAAUGUCUGGGAAACUGCCUGAUGGAGGGGGAUAACUACUGGAAACGGUAGCUAAUACCGCAUACCAUCAGAUGUGCCCAGAUGGGAUUAGCUAGUAGGUGGGGUAACGGCGCACCUAGGCGACGAUCCCUAGCUGGUCUGAGAGGAAGACCAGCCACACUGGAACUGAGACACGGUCCAGAAUCCUACGGGAGGCAGCAGUGGGGAAUAUUGCACAAUUGGCGCAAGCCUGAUGCAGCCAUGCCGAGGGUGUGAAGAAGGCCUUAUGGUUGUAAAGCACUUUAAGCGAGGAGGCGUUACUCGCAGAAUAAGCACCGGCUAACUCUGUGCCAGCAGCCGCGGUAAUUC